rnacentral:rRNA from 1 species
AGAGUUUGAUCAUGGCUCAGGACGAACGCUGGCGGCACGCCUAGCACAUGCAAGUCGAACGGAGAUAUUAGCUUCGGUUAAUAUCUUAGUGGCGGACGGGUGAGUAACACGUGAGCAACCUGCCUCUAAGAACGGGAUAGGCUUCUGGAAACGGAUGGUAAUACCGUAUAAUGUAUUGGGAAGGCAUCUUUCUAAUACCAAAGAUUUAUCGCUUAGAGAUGGGCUCGCGUCUGAUUAGCUAGAUGGUGAGGUAACGGCCCACCAUGGCGACGAUCAGUAGCCGGACUGAGAGGUUGAACGGCCACAUUGGGACUGAGACACGGCCCAGACUCCUACGGGAGGCAGCA